UCUUCUGCAUUAUGGGCCCUGUCUGUGUCGGUAGCAAACUUAGCAAUUCAUGGCCUGGUGAAGUGUGUGUGUGUGCCCGUGUGUGUGCGCACACCCGUGCACAAAAGACCAUCAGCAGCAGGAGGGGGGAAUCAAUCACCUCAUCUGCUGGACUGUGCUUUAAUUUUGCCUCCAACUGCACCCCAUUCCUCCCUGUCGCCCUGAGAUUGACAUGGUGGCAUUUGGUACAAAGGCAAGCCUCCUGGUGCCGAACAAGGAGGAGGGCCAGGUGGAAAUCAAUGGCCAGCAAUAUGCACCAGGAAUCAAAUACUGAUGAGCUGCUGCUAUGGAAGGUGGAGGGAGAUGCGUGCGUCUUGCUAUUCCAGAGUUGUAUUGCAAAAGGCAGCAUCGUGUACCCGAAGUGCAGAAAACAAGACUGUGGGACCAUGCAAGCUAUGUCAUAAGAGACUUCCUGAGCAUGCCUGGCAUCUCAGUAUUUUGAAAGAAAGCAUCCAAGAUACUUAUCCAGGCUGUAAACUCACCAUCAGUACAUCCUGCCAACGAAGCCUCAAGUUGCGGACCAAAAAUACUCACGGAUUCAUCCUUGACAUAAGACAAGACAUCUGUUUUCUCUGAUGAUGGCCUUUGAAUCUCUCCUUCAGUUUCCCUGCUUUUUUGCACUACUAAAGAGUAGCAAGCCUCUUUGAGAACUUUUUGUUUUCCCAGCAAGUUUUACAACAUGAGAAUGUUGCCAUAUGCGAGAGAGGGAAAGACACCCCCUUCUCACUGUAUAUUUUAGACUCAGGGUUUCUUUUAAUCUUCCUACGUUGCACAUUACCUCUUCAGUGCACAUAGACUACAUAUUCUUUCAUGAGUUGGGUGGCUGGUUUGUGAAAAACAAUGUUUGGCACAAUGCACAGAUGCUCCAUGAAGCAAUAUUACAACACUCCU